AGGAUGGUGACACUACAAGAACGACUGGCGAGAACGCGCUCUCUCGUUGUCAUCUCUUCCCGCUCCUUCAGAUCCAGUAGCUGUAGUUUCCUCCUCAAUGCCCUGUUUUCUUUCUGGCUUUGAGUUAUUUCCAAACGAAACACUGCAUAGUCGUCGUCUACGAGUUUACAGAUAUCUGCCACGGCUGCAUUCGCUAGCUCCUCCAUGAUGGAGGCUAUUUGAGUGUGAAAAACCAUAUAGUUAGCCAUUGUUAGCAGCUAGCUAGCGUUACUUAGAUAACAUAUAUCAACUAAUUCCUGUCUCCAGCGCGAAUUAAAGACUACCUGGGGAACAGGAGGGUCUAUCUCUACCAGGCCCUGCUUCAUCCCUGCACUGAGACUGUGAAGAGAAGGGUCUGGGCUGCAGACUGGAUCCCUGACUGGAGCCUCUGUCUCUCUGAUGACCACCAGGUCUGAGGUUGUUCAGUGAGUCGCUGUCCCUCACGGUUGGGUCUUGGUUCCGACUCGGGAAGGAAGAGCAACAGCUCCAGAUCCAUGGUCCUGAUCCGGGGCCAGGCUUUGUGACCAGCCACCUCAGAGUUCUGGUCUAUCCCACCAGCAACACCAGACAUCAGAAGGUCUUGAUUGACUGCAGACUGCAAACAAAGACUGUACAGAAAAGCAUAAAGGUUUAUAUAAGAAACUCUUUGCUGUGUACACACAGAAACAUGACAUGAUAUUAUAAAAUGUUAACCACAGUCAAGCUUCUAACACUGUGAUUCAAGUACCUAACAAUAUGGAGCCAGUGGAUUGAUUCUUUUCAAACGCUGUCCCUGCAAUGAUACAAAAAUAACAAAGUCAGUCAGCACAGA